rnacentral:rRNA from 1 species
UGAACGCUGGCGGCAGGCCUAACACAUGCAAGUCGAGCGGUAGCACAAGAGAGCUUGCUCUCCGGGUGACGAGCGGCGGACGGGUGAGUAAUGUCUGGGAAACUGCCUGAUGGCGGGGGAUAACUAGUGGAAACGGUAGCUAAUACCGCAUAACGUCGCAAGACCAAAGUGGGGGACCUUCGGGCCUCACGCCAUCAAAUGUGCCUAGGUGGGAUUAGCUGGUAGGUGGGGUAACGGCUCACCUAGGCGACGAUCCCUAGCUGGUCUGAGAGGAUGACCAGCCACACUGGAACUGAGACACGGUCCAGACUCCUGCGGGAGGCAGCAGUGGGGAAUAUUGCACAAUGGGCGCAAGCCUGAUGCAGCCAUGCCGCGUGUGUGAAGAAGGCCUUCGGGUUGUAAAGCACUUUCAGCGAGGAGGAAAGGUAAUGUGUUAAUAAGACAUUGCAUUGACGUUACUCGCAGAAGAAGCACCGGCCAACUCCGUGCCAGCAGCCGCGGUAAUACGGAGGGUGCAAGCGUUAAUCGGAAUUACUGGGCGUAAAGCGCACGCAGGCGGUUUGUUAAGUCAGAUGUGAAAUCCCCGCGCUCAACGUGGGAACGGCAUUUGAAACUGGCAGGCUAGAGUCUUGUAGAGGGGGGUAGAAUUCCAGGUGUAGCGGUGAAAUGCGUAGAGAUCUGGAGGAAUACCGGUGGCGAAGGCGGCCCCCUGGACAAAGACUGACGCUCAGGUGCGAAAGCGUGGGGAGCAAACAGGAUUAGAUACCCUGGUAGUCCACGCUGUAAACGAUGUCGAUUUGGAGGUUGUGCCCUUGAGGGGUGGCUUCCGUAGCUAACGCGUUAAAUCGACCGCCUGGGAAGUACGGCCGCAAGGUUAAAACUCAAAUGAAUUGACGGGGGCCCGCACAAGCGGUGGAGCAUGUGGUUUAAUUCGAUGCAACGCGAAGAACCUUACCUGCUCUUGACAUCCAGAGAACUUUCCAGAGAUAGAGGGAUGCCUUCGGGAGCUCUGAGACAGGUGCUGCAUGGCUGUCGUCAGCUCGUGUUGUGAAAUGUUGGGUUAAGUCCCGCAACGAGCGCAACCCUUAUCCUUUGUUACCAGCGAUAAAGUCGGGAACUCAAAGGAGACUGCCGGUGAUAAACCAGAGGAAGGUGGGGAUGACGUCAAGUCAUCAUGGCCCUUACGAGUAGGGCUACACACGUGCUACAAUGGCGUAUACAAAGAGAAGCGACCUCGCGAGAGCAAGCGGACCUCACAAAGUACGUCGUAGUCCGGAUUGGAGUCUGCAACUCGACUCCAUGAAGUCGGAAUCGCUAGUAAUCGUAGAUCAGAAUGCUGCGGUGAAUACGUUCCCGGGCCUUGUACACACCGCCCGUCACACCAUGGGAGUGGGUUGCAAAAGAAGUAGGUAGCUUAACCUUCGGGAGGGCGCUUACCACUUUGUGAUUCAUGACUGGGGUGAAGUC